rnacentral:rRNA from 1 species
CCUACGGGAGGCAGCAGUGAGGAAUAUUGGUCAAUGGGCGAGAGCCUGACCGAGCAAAGUAGCGUGAAGGAUGAAAGGCCUACGGGUUGUAAAGUUUUUUUGACAAGGAAUAAAGAGAAGCGCGUAUGCCUUUUUGUAUGUCCUUUAUGGAUAAGGAUCGUCUAACUCCGUGCCAGCAGCCGCGGUAAUACGGAGGAUCCGAGCGUUCUCCGGAUUUAUUGGGUUUAAAGGGAGCGUAGAUGGGUUGUUAAGUCAGUUGUGAAAGCUUGCGGCUCAACCGUAAAAUUGCAAUUGAUACUGGCUGCCUUGAGUACAGUUGAGGUAGGCGGAAUUCGUGGUGUAGCGGUGAAAUGCUUAGAUAUCACGAAGAACUCCGAUUGCGAAGGCAGCUUACUAAACUGCCAUUGACAUUGAUGCUCGAAAGUGUGGGUAUCAAACAGGAUUAGAUACCCUAGUAGUC